rnacentral:misc_RNA from 1 species
GAUGAAGAACGUAGUGAAAUGCGAAAAGUAAUGUGAAUUGCAGAAUUCAGUGAAUCAUCGAAUCUUUGAACGCACAUUGCGCCCGCCAGUAUUCUGGCGGGCAUGCCUGUCUGAGCGUCAUUUCAACCCUCAUGCCCCUAGGGCGUGGUGUUGGGGAUCGGCCAGCGCCCGCGAGGGACGGCCGGCCCCUAAAUCUAGUGGCGGACCCGUCGUGGCCUCCCCUGCGAAGUAGUGAUAUUCCGCAUAGGAGAGCGACGAGCCCCUGCCGUUAAACCCCCAACUUUCUAAGGUUGACCUCAGAUCAGGUAGGAAUACCCGCUGAACUUAAGCAUAUCAAUAAGCGGAGGA